GAUGAACGCUAGCUACAGGCUUAACACAUGCAAGUCGAGGGGCAGCAUGAAGGUUAGCAAUAACCUUUGAUGGCGACCGGCGCAAGGGUGCGUAACGCGUGAGCAACUUGCCCGUUUCAGGGGGAUAACCGGUGGAAACGCCGACUAAUACCCCAUGGCAUCAUUAGGAGGCAUCUCCUUCUGAUUAAAGAAUUUCGGAAACGGAUAGGCUCGCGUGACAUUAGCUAGACGGCGGGGUAACGGCCCACCGUGGCGACGAUGUCUAGGGGUUCUGAGAGGAAGGUCCCCCACACUGGUACUGAGACACGGACCAGACUCCUACGGGAGGCAGCAGUGAGGAAUAUUGGUCAAUGGACGAGAGUCUGAACCAGCCAAGUCGCGUGAAGGAAGACUGCCCUAAGGGUUGUAAACUUCUUUUGUUUGGGAAUAAAGUUCGGGACGUGUCCCGUUUUGUACGUACCAUUCGAAUAAGCAUCGGCUAAUUCCGUG
rnacentral:rRNA from 1 species